rnacentral:rRNA from 1 species
GCUNUAGCGUGCCUAAUACAUGCAAGUCGAGCGGUCCCUUCGUGGGAUAGCGGCGUGACGGGUGAGUAACACGUAGGCAACCUGCCUGUAAGACUGGGAUAACUAUCGGAAACGAUAGCUAAGACCGGAUAGCUGGUUCUCUCGCAUGAGAGGAUCAUGAAACACGGAGUAAUCUGUGGCUUACAGAUGGGCCUGCGGCGCAUUAGCUAGUUGGUAGGGUAACGGCCUACCAAGGCGACGAUGCGUAGCCGACCNCAGAGGGUGAUCUUUUCACACAAGGGACUGAGACACGGCCCAGACUCCUACGGGAGGCAGCAGUAGGGAAUCUUCCGCAAANGGACGCAAGUCUGACGGAGC